GGCGGCGUGCUUAACACAUGCAAGUCGAACGAGAAGAGAUGAGAAGCUUGCUUCUUAUCGAUUCGAGUGGCAAACGGGUGAGUAACGCGUAAACAACCUGCCCUCCGGAUGGGGACAACAGCUGGAAACGGCUGCUAAUACCGAAUACGGUCGUCGUGCCGCAUGACAUGACGACGAAAAGAUGGCCUCUAUAUAUAAGCUAUCGCCGGAAGAGGGGUUUGCGUCUGAUUAGCUAGUUGGAGGGGUAACGGCCCACCAAGGCAACGAUCAGUAGCCGGUCUGAGAGGAUGGACGGCCACAUUGGGACUGAGACACGGCCCAGACUCCUACGGGAGGCAGCAGUGGGGAAUCUUCCGCAAUGGACGAAAGUCUGACGGAGCAACGCCGCGUGAGUGAAGACGGCCUUCGGGUUGUAAAGCUCUGUUAUACGGGACGAACGAGAGUAUAGUCAAUACCUAUAUUCUGUGACGGUACCGUAAGAGAAAGCCACGGCUAACUACGUG
rnacentral:rRNA from 1 species